rnacentral:rRNA from 1 species
AUUGAACGCUGGCGGCAGGCCUCACACAUGCAAGUCGAACGAGUGGCGGACGGGUGAGUAAUGUCUGGGAAACUGCCCGAUGGAGGGGGAUAACUACUGGAAACGGUAGCUAAUACCGCAUACCAUCGGAUGUGCCCAGAUGGGAUUAGCUAGUAGGUGGGGUAACGGCUCACCUAGGCGACGAUCCCUAGCUGGUCUGAGAGGAUGACCAGCCACACAGGAACGGAGACACGGUCCAGACGCCUACGGGAGGCAGCAGUGGGGAAUAUUGCACAAUGGGCGCAAGCCUGAUGAAGCAAUGCCGCGUGGAUGAAGAAGGCCUUCGGGUUGUAAAGGACGUUCAGCGAGGAGGCGUUACUCGCAGAAGAAGCACCGGCUAACUCAGUGCCAGCAGCCGCGGUAAUUC